CAAGACGAACGUGCAAGAGAUUGUUCCUAUCAAAAUCGUAACCAAGAAGAAAUUCUUCAAAAUGUCUAGUUGUCCUAAAGACAAGUAUUACUCGUCGUUCCUGGACACCUGUGUUGAGUGCCCAGAUCUGAUACAAAAAUGCCGCAAUGAAAGUCCUAUUGACGCGCAGUCAUGUAGCAGAUAUUGUGCAGGUAAUGUUGCGCAUACUGUUUAUAUAGUCG